GGGUAAAAUUCAGUUUUUGGCAUAUAACUCAAAAACCAAAGCAUUUAAAGUAAAUCUGACAUGAAGUAAAAUUGUUUAUCAGGUCAAGAUCUAUCUGCCCUGCAAUUUUCAGAUGAAUCGGACAACCCGUUGUUGGGUUGCUGCCCCUGAAUUGGUAAUUUUAAGGAAAUUUUUGCUGUUUUUGGUUAUUAUCUUGAAUAUUUUUAUAGAUAGAGAUAAACUGUAAAAAGCAAUAAAUGUCGGCAAAGUAAGAUCUACAAAUAAGUCAACAUGACCGAAAUGGUCAGUUGACCCCUUUAGGAGUUAUUGCCCUUUAUAGUCAAUUUUUAACCAUUUUUCGUAAAUCUUAGUUAUCUUUACAAAAAUCUUCUCCUC
rnacentral:lncRNA from 1 species